GACGUAGGGCGCGAGCGUUGUCCGGAUUUAUUGGGCGUAAAGAGCUCGUAGGCGGCUUGUCGCGUCGUCCGUGAAAACCCACAGCUCAACUGUGGGCUUGCGGUCGAUACGGGCAGGCUAGAGUUCGGUAGGGGAGACUGGAAUUCUCGGUGUAGCAGUGAAAUGCGUAGAUAUCGAGAGGAACACCAGUGGCGAAGGCAGGUCUCUGGGCUGACACUGACGCUCAUGCACGAAAGCGUGGGGAGCAAACAGG
rnacentral:rRNA from 1 species